AAAGUAUGGUGAUGGAAUUUCCUAAGAAUUUUCUUAAAUCUCUUCCAACUUUCAUAAAAUAACUCUCCUUAAAUCUGGGUAAAUGAUGUGAUAUCAUUUUUAAGCUU